ACCAGAUCUGUAUAUAACAGGAGCCCAGCUGCAGUACUCACUGCGUAUUUUCAUUUGUGCAUCGAUCUUCUGGAGAGACACAGAGACAACUAGAAGAGAACGAUGGAAUCCCAGAACUGCAGCUGUGCUACAGGUGGCCCCUGUAACUGUGGAGACAAUUGUAAGUGUGAAAACUGCAAAUGCAAAGACUGCAAAAAAACUGGACAGAACGAACAACAGCCAGAGUGCAGUAAAUGUGGCAAGAACUGUGAGUGCAAAAAAGUUGCUGAGAAAUGCAGCUGCAGCCACUGAAGACUACCAAUGGUGCUUGAGAACUGAGUUGUUAUAAACUGCACAAUCUAUUGUUAAAUCUUGUCUAACAUUUGUUGGUUACUUAUUAAAUAAAGAUAUUGUCUUAAA